CGGAGGGUGCGAGCGUUGUCCGGAAUCACUGGGCGUAAAGGGCGCGUAGGCGGCCCGAUAAGUAGGGGGUGAAAUCCUGCGGCUUAACCGCAGGGCUGCCUUCUAAACUGUCAGGCUAGAGCACAGUAGAGGCAGGUGGAAUUCCCGGUGUAGCGGUGGAAUGCGUAGAGAUCGGGAAGAACAUCAGUGGCGAAGGCGGCCUGCUGGGCUGUUGCUGACGCUGAGGCGCGACAGCGUGGGGAGCAAACAGGAUUAGAUACCCUGGUAGUCCACGCCGUAAACGAUGGGCACUAGGCGUCGGGGGGAGCGACCCUCCCGGUGCCGUCGCUAACGCAGUAAGUGCCCCGCCUGGGGAGUACGGCCGCAAGGCUG
rnacentral:rRNA from 1 species